CUCGGUACGUUGUGCGUGAUAAUAUAUACAUGUACGUAGAUGAGGACGGUCACAAUCUGAGCAUGGGUGAGAUGUAUCGAUAUGAAGAUGUCUGCGAUGUCCUGCCCAUGUUUAGAAAUGUAUUUGUAACAACGCUCUGAAAAGUAUGUCCGUGAAAGUAAAAAUCAGGGCAGUACUCUGCUGUCUGUCAGUGCUGGGAUUUUUGGAAG